GUAAGUAGCCUAUGUUGGCCUGGCAUGGAUUUUGACUGUUGUGAGUGAACUAUCAUGUACUGUUUUUUUUUUUCCUAGUACAGUACAUAACUGAAAUGGAAAUUUCUUGAGAGGGAUAUUAAAUACUAUCCCAGUGCCCUGUCCUGCUUAACCUGUGCUAGAAUUUUCCUGACCAAAUAUUAAGAUUGCACAAAGCAGAAAUAGUUGGAAAAGGUAGAGGGGGUAAGGGCAUAUGAAGAAUAUUUUAGUCUGUACUUGACGAUAAAGAAAACAAAAGAAGCAAGUAUGUGUAGAGCAUAUUAUACAUUUCCUCUGCGAGUCAGCCACAGGUUCUCCAGCAGAGGAUCACUUAGAAGUACUUCCAGUAUUAUUGAUUAUUCCCAGCUCUCUUGAUCUCUCUAAGUCAUUUUGACCUGAGCCAUUUUACUCCAGCAAGAGGUAUAAUUAAACAGGAUUCAGUGGACAUGGAAUCAAUGUCUCUGCAUGCUUUCCAGAGGACAGCACACUUAAAAUAGGCUCUUAGAAAUUGUCUGCCUCUUUAAAGGAUAUGAGGCCCCUAGAAAUUGUCUGCCUCUUUAAAGGACAGGGUAGGAGUUGUUUCCCUCACCUUACAUUUGUGGAUUAAAAUGUUUUAAAUAAAAGAAUGAAAUUGACUAAUGAAAUGAAAUGUCUAAAGACUAUUAUGUGCCUUAGAGGUUGGUACCAUGUAAAAAUAUAAAAAGAAUGUUCUUUUGAGUAAUAAUUAUUAUGUGGACAUAGUAACAUUGGGAAGCAAGGUUAAUAACUGACCGGUUGAAGAGUUUGUGUCAAUCUGAUUUAGACUGCCCACAGUAAUUAAAAGUCUGUCUCUUAUUAUGGCAGUCAUUCUCAGAGCUUCUUGACCUGUUUCUCAGCAGCUUGCAUUGUAAAGCUGAAAUUGAGAAGGAACAGAGAAGCUCACUCAAGAUUUGUGAUGAAUGAGGCAUGGAAUCUUUUGCUUUUGCAUGUUGGGUCUCUCUUUCCAUUUCUUCCCCACUGAGAGACCCAGGGUAGAACGUUUAUUGAAUGCAUGCCACCUUUUCCAAAAAGGUGUGGUUCGUAUCUUUCCAUCUUUUCUAUAAUUGGUUCAUAGCAAGUUGUGACUGUGCACCUUCUAUUGAAUGCAAGUUGAAA
rnacentral:circRNA from 1 species